rnacentral:rRNA from 1 species
ACUAAGCGUACACGGUGGAUGCCCUGGCAGUCAGAGGCGAUGAAGGACGUGCUAAUCUGCGAUAAGCGUCGGUAAGGUGAUAUGAACCGUUAUAACCGGCGAUUUCCGAAUGGGGAAACCCAGUGUGAUUCGUCACACUAUCAUUAACUGAAUCCAUAGGUUAAUGAGGCGAACCGGGGGAACUGAAACAUCUAAGUACCCCGAGGAAAAGAAAUCAACCGAGAUUCCCCCAGUAGCGGCGAGCGAACGGGGAG